GGGUGCGAACAUACCAGCACUAAUGCACCGGAUCCCAUCAAAACUUCGCAGUUAAAUGUGUUUGGAAGAUAUGUAGUAAGUUUAUACAUACCAACUCUGUGAGCAAAUUUUAGUAUGUAUCCA
rfam:Cephalotus follicularis DNA, scaffold: scaffold2374, isolate: St1.